GAAAUGCGAUAAGUAAUGUGAAUUGCAGAAUUCAGUGAAUCAUCGAAUCUUUGAACGCACAUUGCGCCCGCCAGUAUUCUGGCGGGCAUGCCUGUUCGAGCGUCAUUACAACCCUCAGGCCCCCGGGCCUGGCGUUGGGGAUCGGCGGAAGCCCCCUGCGGGCACAACGCCGUCCCCCAAAUACAGUAGCGGUCCCGCCGCAGCUUCCAUUGCGUAGUAGCUAACACCUCGCAACUGGAGAGCGGCGCGGCCACGCCGUAAAACACCCAACUUCUGAAUGUUGACCUCGAAUCAGGUAGGAAUACCCGCUGAACUUAAGC
rnacentral:misc_RNA from 1 species